AGCGAACGCUGGCGGCAGGCCUAACACAUGCAAGUCGAGCGCCGUAGCAAUACGGAGCGGCAGACGGGAGAGUAACACGUGGGAACGUGCCCUUUGGUUCGGAAUAACUCAGGGAAACUUGAGCUAAUACCGGAUAAGCCCUUACGGGGAAAGAUUUAUUGCCAUUGGAGCGGCCCGCGUCGGAUUAGCUAGUUGGUGAGGUAAUGGCUCACCAAGGCGACGAUCCGUAGCUGGUCUGAGAGGAUGACCAGCCUCACUGGGACUGAGACACGGCCCAGACUCCUACGGGAGGCAGCAGUGGGGAAUAUUGGACAAUGGGCGCAAGCCUGAUCCAGCCAUGCCGCGUGGAUGAUGAAGGCCCUAGGGUUGUAAAGUCCUUUUAACGGGGAAGAUAAUGACGGUACCCGUAGAAUAAGCCCCGGCUAACUUCGUGCCAGCAGCCGCCGUAACAC
rnacentral:rRNA from 1 species